GAGAAGCAACAGCAGUAGCAGCGACGACGAAAGGAAGCAUCGCCGACAAAGCCUGAGACAAAUCACCUUUCCUUGCCCCACCAUCUGUCUUAUUCCCAAUCGAGACCCUUUGCGACCCAAUUCCUCGUACGUACGGCGUCGUCGAACAGGCGAAUACCAACAACCUUCGUCCAUUAACUUUUCUGCCGACGUCGACACCACCCUUCCACACGGAAUCGAACCAAUUCUCGAAUAACAACUCGGCGUCACUUGUUUCGAACAGAUUGAGAGCUGCUUCCUGGUGGGGACUGCGAGAGAAAGAAAGGGAGUGAUCGACGUCAUUGUGGUGGAUCGAUGUUUUCUUCACUAUUUAACGCCGACGCCGGAGAUAGGUGGUGGCCUGCCGGGGAGGUUUU
rnacentral:lncRNA from 1 species